UACGUAGGGGGCAAGCGUUGUCCGGAUUUAUUGGGCGUAAAGAGCGUGUAGGCGGCCUGAAAAGGUCAGCUGUGAAAACUCGAGGCUCAACCUCGAGACGUUGGUUGAAACCAUCUGGCUAGAGUCCGGAAGAGGAGUGUGGAAUUCCCGGUGUAGCGGUGAAAAUGCGCAGAUAUCGGGGAAGAACACCCCGUGGCGAAGGCGGCACUCUGGGACGGUACUGGAACGCUGAGACGCGAAAAGCAUGGGGGAGCGAACAGGAUUAGAAAACCCCCGGU
rnacentral:rRNA from 1 species